GAGUGAGAUGAUGGUAUACCAUCUUUCGGGACUGAAGCCUGAUGAUCCCUUUUUUAAUAUGCUGAUCACUC